UCGAGAAUUUUUCUCAAUGGGCGCAAGCCUGAAGGAGCGACGCCGCGUGGAGGAUGAAGGUCUUCGGAUUGUAAACUCCUGUCAUUGGUGAACAAAGCUUACGGUUUACUGCCGUGGAGCCUGCUAGUAGCCAAAGAGGAAGAGACGGCUAACUCUGUGCCAGCAGCCGCGGUAAUACAGAGGUCUCAAGCGUUGUUCGGAAUUAUUGGGCGUAAAGGGUGCGUAGGCGGCAGGAUAAGUUAGAUGUGAAAUGUCGACGCUUAACGUCGAACCUGCAUUUAAGACUGUCUUGCUUGAGCGCUAGAGAGGAGUCUGGAAUUUACGGUGUAGCAGUGAAAUGCGUAGAUAUCGUAAGGAAGGCCAGUGGCGAAAGCGAGACUCUGGCUAGAUGCUGACGCUGAGGCACGAAAGCUGGGGGAGCAAACG
rnacentral:rRNA from 1 species